UUUCCGUAGGUGAACCUGCGGAAGGAUCAUUACAGAGUUCAUGCCCUCACGGGUAGAUCUCCCACCCUUGAAUAUUUAUACCUUAGUUGCUUUGGCAGGCCGUGGAAACACCAUGGGCUCCGGCUUAUGCGUGCCUGCCAGAGGAAACAAACUCUGUUUUUAGUGAUGUCUGAGUACUAUAUAGUAGUUAAAACUCUCAACAACGGAUCUCUUGGUUCUG
rnacentral:misc_RNA from 1 species